UAGGGAAUCUUCGGCAAUGGACGAAAGUCUGACCGAGCAACGCCGCGUGAGUGAAGAAGGUUUUCGGAUCGUAAAACUCUGUUGUUAGAGAAGAACAAGGACGUUAGUAACUGAACGUCCCCUGACGGUAUCUAACCAGAAAGCCACGGCUAACUACGUGCCAGCAGCCGCGGUAAUACGUAGGUGGCAAGCGUUGUCCGGAUUUAUUGGGCGUAAAGCGAGCGCAGGCGGUUUCUUAAGUCUGAUGUGAAAGCCCCCGGCUCAACCGGGGAUGGUCAUUGGAAACUGGGAGACUUGAGUGCAGAGGAGGAGAGUGGAAUUCCAUGUGUAGCGGUGAAAUGCGUAGAUAUAUGGAGGAACACCAGUGGCGAAGGCGGCUCUCUGGUCUGUAACUGACGCUGAGGCUCGAAAGCGUGGGGAGCAAACAGG
rnacentral:rRNA from 1 species